AGAGCUGGCGUCGAGGGAGGCGGCGCCCGACACCAGGCUGCAGACAACCAGCGGCAGGAUGAUCAUGCGCAGCAUGCGGAGCAGCAUCUCGCCGGGGAAGGACAGAUGUGUAAGUACCACAUUACAAAGUACCUUGCAAGUGGUGCAAUCUGAGACCACUCGCCAUCACCACCAACUUGAAACUCUCAAUAGGCUGGAGGACUGCUCGGAUACACAUGACAAAUGAUGCUUAUAUUCAGUGUCCACAACUACAGUGAACCUAGGCUUAGAUGUACUUCCUGGCUACUGACCUGAACCACAACAGAUUUUCCUCCUACUUAAGAAAGAAUGUUGGCCUGCAAGGUCCUCCAACUCAGUCUGGACUCAACCAUAUGAUUUUCUUUAGCCAAUGGGUAUACCUGACCCAAGGCAAGCAGAAGUUUGAAAUAGGCUUACACAUUAGGCUUUUCUCUUGUGCCAUUGCCAUCAGAACAUGCCUGGGGGGAAGAGAGACACACGGAGCACAGCUGAGUCCUCAGUCAUCAUAGCAGAGUUCAUCCUCGAUCAACUACCAGCCAGACUACCCCAAACGUGGAAGUGGAAUCAGCCAGUCAGCUGAGCUGUCUAGCCGCUCCCUACCACCACUCUGAGAAAUAUGAGCAAUAAAAACCACUGUUGUGCGCCAUGAAA